rnacentral:rRNA from 1 species
UGGGGAAUAUUGCACAAUGGAGGGAACUCUGAUGCAGCGAUGCCGCGUGAGGGAAGAAGGUUUUCGGAUUGUAAACCUCUGUCUUCAGGGACGAAAAUGACGGUACCUGAGGAGGAAGCUCCGGCUAACUACGUGCCAGCAGCCGCGGUAAUACGUAGGGAGCGAGCGUUGUCCGGAAUUACUGGGUGUAAAGGGAGCGUAGGCGGGGCUUUAAGUCAGGUGUGAAAUCUAUGGGCUCAACCCAUAGACUGCACUUGAAACUGAGGCUCUUGAGUGAAGUAGAGGCAGGCGGAAUUCCUAGUGUAGCGGUGAAAUGCGUAGAUAUUAGGAGGAACAUCAGUGGCGAAGGCGGCCUGCUGGGCUUUUACUGACGCUGAGGCUCGAAAGCGUGGGGAGCAAACAGG